rnacentral:rRNA from 1 species
UACGUAGGGGGCAAGCGUUAUCCGGAUUUACUGGGCGUAAAGCGCGUUAAGGCGGUCGACUAAGUUGGUGGUGAAAUUCCAGGGCUCAACCCUGAAACUGCCUCCAAUACUGGUCGACUUGAGUGCGAGAGAGGAAGAUGGAAUUCCCGGUGUAGUAGUGAAAUGCGUAGAUAUCGGGAGGAACACCAGUGGCGAAGGCGGUCUUCUGGCUCGCAACUGACGCUGUAGCGCGAAAGCGUGGGGAGCGAACGGG